rnacentral:rRNA from 1 species
GACAGAGGGUGCAAACGUUGUUCGGAAUUACUGGGCGUAAAGCGCGUGUAGGCGGCAGGGCAUGUCGGAUGUGAAAUCCCGUGGCUCAACCACGGAAGUGCACCCGAAACUGCCCAGCUUGAGUCUCGGAGAGGAAGGCGGAAUGCUUGGUGUAGAGGUGAAAUUCGUAGAUAUCAGGAGGAACACCGAUGGCGAAGGCAGGUCUCUGGGCUGACACUGACGCUCAUGCACGAAAGCGUGGGGAGCAAACAGG